GAGUUUGAUCGUGGCUCAGAUUGAACGCUGGCGGCAGGCCUAACACAUGCAAGUCGAGCGGAUGAAGGGAGCUUGCUCCUGGAUUCAGCGGCGGACGGGUGAGUAAUGCCUAGGAAUCUGCCUGGUAGUGGGGAUAACGUCCGGAAACGGGCGCUAAUACCGCAUACGUCCUGAGGGGGGAAAGUGGGGGAUCUUCGGACCUCACGCUAUCAGAUGAGCCUAGGUCGGAUUAGCCAGUUGGUGGGGGUAAAGGCCUACCAAGGCGACGAUCCGUAACUGGUCUGAGAGGAUGAUCAGUCACACUGGAACUGAGACACGGUCCAGACUCCUACGGGAGGCAGCAGUGGGGAAUAUUGGACAAUGGGCGAAAGCCUGAUCCAGCCAUGCCGCGUGUGUGAAGAAGGUCUUCGGAUUGUAAAGCACUUUAAGUUGGGAGGAAGGGCAGUAAGUAAUACCUUGCUGUUUGACGUUACCAACAGAAUGAGCACCGGCUAACUUCGUGCCAGCCGCCGCGGUAACACCG
rnacentral:rRNA from 1 species